UACGUAGGCGGAAAAUUAAGUCAGUAGUGAAAUCCCACAGCUUAACUGUGGAACUGUUAUUGAUACUGGUUUUCUUGAAUAUAGUUGAGGUAGGCGGAAUGUGUAAUGUAGCGGUGAAAUGCUUAGAUAUUACACAGAACACCGAUUGCGAAGGCAGCUUACUAAACUAUGAUUGACGCUGAGACACGAAAGCGUGGGUAGCGAACAGGAUUAGAUACCCUGGUAGUCC
rnacentral:rRNA from 1 species